UGAGUAACACGUAUCCAACCUGCCGUCUACUCUUGGACAGCCUUCUGAAAGGAAGAUUAAUACAAGAUGGCAUCAUGAGUCCGCAUGUUCACAUGAUUAAAGGUAUUCCGGUAGACGAUGGGGAUGCGUUCCAUUAGAUAGUAGGCGGGGUAACGGCCCACCUAGUCUUCGAUGGAUAGGGGUUCUGAGAGGAAGGUCCCCCACAUUGGAACUGAGACACGGUCCAAACUCCUACGGGAGGCAGCAUG
rnacentral:rRNA from 1 species